rnacentral:lncRNA from 1 species
GAUAUUACACAAAUUCGAUGUCAUAUCACAUUUAGCAUCAAUGCUAUAAUACAUCUCGCAACACUGCUCACAUGUUGUUUUGGUCGGCGGUUGAUGGCCGCCAUUAGUUCGCGAUCGCGUUUUAUUUUGUGGGUUAACAGGAGUUUCCGACGCGUACAAUUCCUGAAAAAUAGUGAAAUCAUCACGUCGGCCAGAGUACAAGUCAACGAAGGAACAAUUAUUGCUGCCUUGUGAUCCUUCCCGGCAUAAUCGUCUCAAUAAACCGGUCGGGAGAAUUCAAUCUGCCGACGUUUGUCGUCGUCCAGCAAAAUCAUGGAAUCAGCCAUACCAAAAGAAGUCUGGUGGCUCAUUUUAAAAAUCUACCCAUUGAUGGAGUUUGGAUUGAGCUGGAGACGCUUGUAAACUGGAUACGGCACGAACAUAUACCAUUCCAAUCGGUGUUCAAUAACUUGCUCGCUGCAGCGGACCGGGCUUCUAAUGAUGAGCCUAAAUGGUAUCUCAGCUUCGGAACAUCAGGCUCAACAGACUUGUACGAACUGUUCACAAUGGUUCACAGUCUACUCAGGAAGUCAUCACACAAGAUCGAGCGUCUUCUCGCAUUCAUCACUCUGGGUGUCGAUACGAAGGUCUAUUACUGUUAAAAACAAUAAAAUAUAAUAAAUAAAUAAAAUUUAAUACUAUUUGUUCAAA